GUACCUGGGUGGUUUAGUGGUUGAGUGUUUGCCUUUAGCUCAGGUCGUGAUCCUAGGGUCCUGGGAUGGAGUCCCACAUGGGGCUCCCCACAGAGAGCUUGCUUCUCCCUCUGCCUGUGUCUCUGCCUCUCUCUGUGUGUCUUUCAUGAAUAAAUAAAAUCUUUAAAACAAAUCUCAGCCAGAGUCUGCAGAAAUUGAUGAACUCAUCUUAAAAUUCAUAUGAAAAUGCAAGAGAUCUCAGAGCGCCUGGGUGGCUCAGUCAUUUGAGUGUCUGACUCUUGGUUUUGGCUCAGGUCAUGAUCUAAGCAUUGUGAGAUCAAGCCCCCAUCAGGCUCUGCACUCAGUGAGGAAUCUGCUUGAGAUUCUCUCCGUCUCCUUCUGCCCCUCCCCCACUUGCACUCUUUCUCUCAAAUAAAUAAAUAAAUAAAUAAAUAAAUAUUUUUUUAAAAUGCAAGCAAUCUAGAAUAGCCAAGACAAUCUUGAAAAGGGAGAACAAAGUUGGAAGACUCACACUUUUUGAUUUCAAAACUUUUUUUUUUUUAAUUUUUAAAAUAUUUUAUUUAUUUAUUCAUGAGGGACACACAGAGAGAGGCAGAGUGAGAAGCAGGCUCCAUGCAGGGAGCCCGAUGUGGGACUCAAUCCUGGGACUCUGGGAUCAUGCUCUAAGCUGAAGGCAGAAGCUCAACCACUGAGCCACCAGGCCUCCCUCUGAUUUCAAAACUUACUACAAAGCUACAGUAAUGAAAACGCUGUGGUAGUGACAUGAGGAUGGACAUGGAGAUCAAUGGAAUUGAAGUGAGAGCUCAGAAAUAAGCUCUUACAUUUAUAAUCAAUUGAUUUCAACAAGGGUGUGAAAACAAAUCAGAAAGAAUGGUCUCUUCGAGAAGUAGUUUGACUAUAUAACUAUAUACUAAAGUGUUGAAAUGUACAUUUUAAAUAGGUGAAUUUUAUGAUACGUAACUAUAUGACAAUAAAGCUAUUUAAAAAUAUGUAAGACAUCAACUCCUUUGCUUACAAUCCUCCAGUGGCUUCCCAUAGCAUCUACAAUAGUGGUUCUUGACCAGGGAGAGAAAGAAGGUUUUGUUCCAGGGGACAUUUGACAUUGUCUGAAGACCUUUUUGGUUGUCUCAUUGUCAGGGUACUGCUGGCAUCUAGUGGGGAGAAGCCAAGGGUGCUGCUUAAUAUCUUAGAAUGCACAGGCUAGUCCUCCACAACAAAGAAUUGUCCAGCCCAAAGUGUCAACAGUGCUAAGACUGAGCCACUUGGAUCUAGAGCAAAAAAGGCGAAGUCCUUACAAUGGCCUAUGAAGCUCUCCUUGAUCUGGUCCUGGAUGCCCCUACUGUCAGCUCCCUGUUCCUUCAGACACACUGGCCUAUUCACUGUUUCUCAAACUCUAGUGGGCACACUUCUGCUUUGCAGGUUUCACACAAAUUAGUUCUUUUGCUUAAGAGACUGUUCCCCUGAGAAUCAUAUGGCUAAAUUCCCUCCUUAUAAAGUCUUUGAAAAAAUGUCCCUUCUUAACAAGACCUACCUUGACCAUCCUAUUUAAAAUUAUGACACUCAGGGAACCCGGGUGGCUCUGCGGUUUAGCAUUGCCUUCAGCCCGGGGAUCACGCCCUGGGCUGAAGGCAGGCAUUCAACCACUGAGCCACCCAGGCAUCCCUAAAACAGAUAUUUUCUACUCAUUACCCAUCCCCAAUUUCCAAAAGACUUUUAAAACUCAAGAAUUGUUCUAAAAAUCCAGUUACAUAUCACAAAUUAUAUGCAACAAUACACUUUCACCUGCAGACAAAAUUUUCUAAAAGUCCAUAGACUAUUCUCUUACUUCACUAUGCUGGUCUGCAGGAAAUAAAAACUACAUAAAUUAAACUUUUACUGUGUUCCCAGAAUCUCAUUGCCUCCAUAUUGAGGAUUCAAGACAAAAUUACAUUCUGGGCCAGCCUAUUUACUUGAGUUCUGUCCAUUGCAUUCUAACAACAUGUUGCAUUUAAGAUAUUAAGAAAAUUAAUUAAAUCAAUCUCUGUUCAUUUUUUGUUUUGCCCCCAAAUUUUCCAAAUAACUGCAGACACAGAAAGCACUCCCCCCGUACAAACAUACAUACCCAUGUGCACAAAUUACAGCAAUGAUUUAUCUAAAAACAAUAUUUUUGUUAAAUGUUAAAUGUUCAUUUUGUAAAAUGUCUGAAAUUAGAAUUUAGAAAAACUCCAAAUUAUUCCCGUGAGUCAGGCAGCUCUUACUUGGCAAUCAACAACCCCGCCACAUACAAUCAGGCAAUUCUUAAUCUUUAACCAUAGUAACUUAAAAAUUGGUCAGGAAGUCAACUUUUAUUUAUUUUUCACUUUGUAAUAUUUUUGGUCCACAAACAUAACAUAUCAUUCUGAAAUUUAUGUUGAAAAUUAUGAAUUUUUUUAACCACUUAAGUUGUCAAAUUGGAAAAAGUCUAAAUUUAUCUUUCCAUAUUAUAAAUGUAAUCAAGGAUUGCAUUAAAAAUGAACUUUAUGAAACAUGGGAUCCCUGGGUGGCGCAGCGGUUUGGCGCCUGCCUUUGGCCCAGGGCGCAAUCCUGGAGACCUGGGAUCGAAUCCCACGUCGGGCUCCCGGUGCAUGGAGCCUGCUUCUCCCUCUGCCUAUGUCUCUGCCUCUCUCUCUGUGUGACUAUCAUAAAUAAAUAAUUUUUUUUAAAAAAGAAAUUAUAUAAAAAUGAACUUUAUAAAACAAAAAAAAAUGAACUUUAUAAUAGCAUAUUUAGAAAUACCCUUAGCUGGGGUACCUAGCUGGCCAAGUUGGUACAGAUCUCAGGGUUAUAAAUUUGAGCCCCACAUCGGGUAUAGAGAUUACUUAAAAAUAAAAUCUUAGGGCAGCCCGGGUGGCUCAGUGGUUUAGCGCCACCUUCAGCCCAGGGUGUGAUCCUGGAGACCCAGGAUCAAGUCCCAUGUCAGGCUCCCUGCAUGGAGCCUGCCCCUCUCCCUCUGCCUGUGUCUCUGCCUCUCUGUGUGUGUGUCUCUCAUGAAUAAAUAAAUAAAAAUUCUAAAAAAAAAAAAAAAA
rnacentral:lncRNA from 1 species